CCACACUGGGACUGAGACACGGCCCAGACUCCUACGGGAGGCAGCAGUAGGGAAUCUUCCACAAUGGACGAAAGUCUGAUGGAGCAACGCCGCGUGAACGAUGAAGGCCUUCGGGUCGUAAAGUUCUGUUGUAAGGGAAGAACAAGUGCCGCAGGCAAUGGCGGCACCUUGACGGUACCUUGCGAGAAAGCCACGGCUAACUACGUGCCAGCAGCCGCGGUAAUACGUAGGUGGCAAGCGUUGUCCGGAAUUAUUGGGCGUAAAGCGCGCGCAGGCGGCCUCUUAAGUCUGAUGUGAAAGCCCCCGGCUCAACCGGGGAGGGCCAUUGGAAACUGGGAGGCUUGAGUAUAGGAGAGAAGAGUGGAAUUCCACGUGUAGCGGUGAAAUGCGUAGAGAUGUUGGAGGAACACCAGUGGCGAAGGCGACUCUUUGGCCUAUAACUGACGCUGAGGCGCGAAGCGUGGGGAGCAAACAGGAUUAUAUACCCUGGUA
rnacentral:rRNA from 1 species